UUUCCGUAGGUGAACCUGCGGAAGGAUCAUUACCGAGUGAGGGCCCUCUGGGUCCAACCUCCCACCCGUGUUUAUUGUACCUUGUUGCUUCGGCGGGCCCGCCGUUUUCGAACGGCCGCCGGGGAGGCCUUGCGCCCCCGGGCCCGCGCCCGCCGAAGACCCCAACAUGAACUCUGUUCUGAAAGUAUGCAGUCUGAGUUUGAUUACCAUAAUCAAUUAAAACUUUCAACAACGGAUCUCUUGGUUCCG
rnacentral:misc_RNA from 1 species